UUUAGGAUCUGAAUUUUGUUAACAGAUGGAGGGGGAAACUCAUGGUUGCACAAGCUUGGAAUGAAUAUAAACAAGUGGUCAUUUCUGAAUUCCCUGAUUGGAUGGAGUGAAAACAGAACUCAGAAAAAAGAUCAUGUUACCACAUUCGGAGGUUGUUCUGAUACUGAUCACAAAGCAACUGAGAUGAAGGAAUGUACAAACAAAGAAGUGCUGUAUAUUCCCUACAAUUUGGCUACAUUGUAUAUCAUCAAGAUUGUAAAAGACAUGCAGCAAAUGAAAAGUAAACACCUGAAAAUAAUCAGAAAACUAGAAAAUAUAAGGAAAGAAAACAAUGUAAGUAUUCUGGAG